AGUGGCAUGGGCCAAAGCAAAAACCACAUCCUGUGGAAAAUAAAACGAUAAUUAGGGCAAACUGACUAGCAAACAGAGCGCAUACAGUUCGGGUCACAUUAACAGCACUGCAGCAGUGUAAAAUGCUUUAACAAGAUAAUAGUGCUAUUAUUUUGACCUCUGCUGUAGCUCACAUACCUGACAUGUGGUGUUCACUGUAACGCCGCAAACUAUCCGCUGGAUGCCCUCGACCCAAACUUUCAGCUCCAUUCCGGCUAAUUGUCGUCGAGUCGAGUCUCUAAAGAUCGGCCAAUUAUUUUCGUUUCUUGGUGUUUCUGCUACCAGAAAAUUGCUUUCUUGUGCCGCUCCAGCUGGAAAUGGGGUUCUACUAAUGGUUUUUGGCGCUUGACUGGCGUUCUGCUGUCGCGCAGCCAGCGAAGCGUGUUAGCUGCACUCCGCCUUUCCACUUUUCCGUCUGCUUUUCCCCAACCCCACUUUUCCUCGCCUGUUUUUCUUUUUUGCUUAAUUUUCCGAUCACAGUUUCUGCUUCUUCUUCACUUGCACUUAUUCACAGCAACAACAACAACACGACUGGUUCCAUACGCUUGCAUGAGUGUUUGCUGGGCGUGCGGGUAUGCGCGCGUGUGUGUGUGAGCUAGAAAAAUUCUGAUUCACUUUUCGGAUUUCCGAUUUGGUGAUUACUUUUGUACUUCCGGCGCGGUAACUCCGUGGUUCUUCACUUUCUAGUAAGCACGAUAAUCUUGUUGUGAAGCAGCUCCACUGCUUUUGUUUUGAUUUCACGGAUUUUUAACGGAUUUAAUCUAAAUUUUAAAAGCAAACAUUGUUGUUGGCAUGGGCAUCCAGUCGAUGCCAAAAAUCGAUUGCACCAACAGCCAACCAGGGAUGGCCAAACAGGUGUUUUUCAAGCUAUCGAUAGCAAUGCCAAUUGGGAUUGCAUGUUGUUGUAACAGGU
ensembl:ncRNA asRNA:CR45208 antisense RNA:CR45208